GAAGAAUGGGACAUCCUACGGUCUCGUGGACUGGACAGACAUGCACAUGCAGCAGCCACUGUUAGUCCGCAGGACCGCAAGUGCUCAUGAAGUGUGCCAUUUUGGACAGGAACUUGGACUAAAACAAUGUGAUGGUGUAAAUUCAGGUUUCAUUUUAAUGUGAAGAGUUUGAAAGUGACUUGUCAUCUAACUACCUGGUCUUUUUUCCAGUAAGAGGGACAUUUUCACACCUAUGGAAAUUCACAUCUCCGUAUACAUUUGUGCAGAGACGCUUUGCAGGACAUGGAGGCGUCAGUGUGAUCACUUUUCAGUGGAUAUGCUGUUAUUUUUUGCUCAUAAAGGAGCAGAGCAGACCGAGUCAUCGGAGAAAACGAG
ensembl:lncRNA